rnacentral:lncRNA from 1 species
ACCACCACCUCUCCUUCACCCCCACACUGCCGCCACACUAUCGUCAUCUGUUGUCACCAAUUUUCUUCGUUUUCUUCUUUCUCAUCUUUUUUCGUAAAUUACCUUCGUAAUAUUUUAAUUUUGAUUUUUAAAUACUAAAAUAUCAUCUCUCAUCUUAUUUUUUAAACACUUCUAUUUUGUGUUUAUAGUGUCGAAUCCCUCUCUUUAACCGACUUUUCGAGAUUUAUUGCCAAGUUUUCU